AUUGAACGCUGGCGGCAUGCUUUACACAUGCAAGUCGAACGGCAGCGCGGGCGGGGGUAACCUCGCCUGGCGGCGAGUGGCGAACGGGUGAGUAAUAUAUCGGAACGUACCCAAGAGUGGGGGAUAACGUAGCGAAAGUUACGCUAAUACCGCAUACGAUCGAAGGAUGAAAGGGGGGGAUCGCAAGACCUCAUGCUCCUGGAGCGGCCGAUAUCUGCUUAGCUAGUUGGUGAGGUAAAGGCUCACCAAGGCGACGAUCAGUAGCGGGUCUGAGAGGACGACCAGCCACACUGGGACUGAGACACGGCCCAGACUCCUACGGGAGGCAGCAGUGGGGAAUUUUGGACAAUGGGCGCAAGCCUAAUCCAGCAAUGCCGCGUGAGUGAAGAAGGCCUUCGGGUUGUAAAGCUCUUUUGUCAGGGAAGAAACGGCUGAGGAUAAUACCUUCGGCUAAUGACGGUACCUGAAGAAUAAGCACCGGCUAACUACGUGCCAGCCGCCGCAGUAAUAC
rnacentral:rRNA from 1 species